UGGGGAAUAUUGCACAAUGGGCGCAAGCCUGAUGCAGCCAUGCCGCGUGUGUGAAGAAGGCCUUCGGGUUGUAAAGCACUUUCAGCGGGGAGGAAGGCGAUAAGGUUAAUAACCUUGUCGAUUGACGUUACCCGCAGAAGAAGCACCGGCUAACUCCGUGCCAGCAGCCGCGGUAAUACGGAGGGUGCAAGCGUUAAUCGGAAUUACUGGGCGUAAAGCGCACGCAGGCGGUCUGUCAAGUCGGAUGUGAAAUCCCCGGGCUCAACCUGGGAACUGCAUUCGAAACUGGCAGGCUAGAGUCUUGUAGAGGGGGGUAGAAUUCCAGGUGUAGCGGUGAAAUGCGUAGAGAUCUGGAGGAAUACCGGUGGCGAAGGCGGCCCCCUGGACAACGACUGACGCUCAGGUGCGAAAGCGUGGGGAGCAAACAGG
rnacentral:rRNA from 1 species